rnacentral:rRNA from 1 species
AUGCCUUUGCUCGUACCAAUUCCUCCGUCCGUCCAUACAAACAGAGCUUCUGAGUUGGUACGAGCAAACACAGAGCUUCUUCCUUGCUUGCUUCUCCUCUCCGUCCGUCCAUGGAGCAGCAAUUCAUCCAUUUCGGCUCCAACAGCAGCUUCUACAGCACACCCACGCCUCCUCCUCCUCCUCCUCCUCAUGAGGCUCCACCACCACUCUGCUCCUCACCCAUGCCCUCCGCCUUCGACAUGGGCGACACCGACGACAUGCACCUCCUCAACACCCUCCUCCUCCACAUGUCUGGCGGCACCGCUUCUUCUUCUCACAUGGAAGCUGCCCAUUACUCCUUCGACCUGGAUAUGGACAUGGACAUGGAGCCAUCUUCCUCUUCAACCAGCUCCUCAUCUUCCUACUCCUCCUCCGAACAGCAGCAGCAGCAGCAGGGGAUGCCCACCACCACUGCUGCCACCGCAGGACAAAGCCCCAGCAAGCGACGUGCGUCCCAGCAAACGCAGCAGCUGCACCCCGCGGCCACCAAGGGCCUGUGCGCAAGCGGCCGUGGGGCAAGUUCGCCGCCGAGAUCCGGGACUCCACCCGCAAGGGCGCCAGGGUGUGGCUCGGCACCUUCAACACCCCCGAGGCCGCCGCCAUGGCCUACGACCAGGCCGCCUUCUCCGUGCGCGGCGCCGCCGCGGUGCUCAACUACCCCGUCGACCGCGUGCAGGAGUCGCUCCGCACGCUCGCGCUCCGCCCCGACGUGCCGGGAGGCUCCCCCGUGCUCGCGCUCAAGCGCCGCCACUCCAUCCGCAAGCGCUCCCCCAACAAGGCCAAGAAGGCGGCGCUAGAGCCCACCAAGAUGAUGAAGGAGUCGACAUCGUCCGCAGGCGUGGUGGAGCUGGAGGACCUGGGCGCGGACUACCUGGAGGAGCUGCUCCGGGUGUCCGACGAGCCGUCCGCAUCAUCCACCAUGCAUCACUAUGUCGACGACCAAUCCAGCACCACGCCGAUGCUAUUCCCUCAUUGCUAGUUUGA